CGGGGUGAGUAAUGUCUGGGAAACUGCCUGAUGGAGGGGGAUAACUACUGGAGACGGUAGCUAAUACCGCAUAACGUCGCAAGACCAAAGAGGGGGACCUUCGGGCCUCUUGCCAUCGGAUGUGCCCAGAUGGGAUUAGCUAGUAGGUGGGGUAACGGCUCACCUAGGCGACGAUCCCUAGCUGGUCUGAGAGGAUGACCAGCCACACUGGAACUGAGACACGGUCCAG
rnacentral:rRNA from 1 species